rnacentral:rRNA from 1 species
GGGGACUUUAAUGAAAUUUUACAAUCCCAUGAGAAAGAUGGGGGAGCGGCACGCCCCCAACGGUGCAUGCAGGCCUUUAGCAGCGCGCUGAGCAACUGUGGGCUUGAUGAUCUCAGAUACUCGGGUGACAUCUUCACCUGGCAACGAGGUAGAAUCCGGGAGCGACUUGACAGAGCUGUUUCAAGUAGCUCUUGGGCUGACCUAUUCCCAGCUUAUGGGGUUUCAAAUGAAUCGUUUAAUAAAUCAGACCACCGACCGAUCUUGAUAGAUACUGAUUUUCAGCUUGGCUUACAACCAAGGGGUCCGCCGGGACCGAGGAAAUUUGAAGCUAGGUGGCUUGCGGAGGAGGACGUGGAGGUGGUUGUUCAAGCGGCCUGGGAUAGGGAAAAAUCCAUGGGAACCGAGCCUUACUCACAGGUGACUGGUGAGAUUCAUGCAGCCCUGCACACCUGGGAUAAAGAGACCCUAAAAGGCCCGCGAACCCGGCUUAGGAAACUACAGAAAGAGUUGAAUGAGGUGCUUUCGGGCCCGCUGUCGGAUGAGGCUGUGGCUCGACAACACGAACUACAUAUGCAGAUCGAGAAUCUACUUGAACAAGAAGAGAUAUAUUGGAUGCAGAGAGGGCGUGCUGAUUGGCUCUGCCGUGGCGAUCAAAACACGGAUUUUUUUUCACCGCGCAGCCACGGGGAGGCGCAAGCAGAAUUUUAUCAAGAAAUUGAGAGGAGAUUCAGGGGACUGGAUCGAGGAUGA